rnacentral:misc_RNA from 1 species
GAUUAAGUACCCGCAAAAACUCGAUCCGUUGCCAUCCCUAUCCCCACCAAGAAUAACGAUGGAAGUGGUAAAGAAAUUUAGAUGAGGAUAGAUUCUCUCAAUCAAGAGCAUGUCACUAACCUUACUGAGAAAUUAUAAUGGAGUCUACAAAUUGCCCAUAAAAAAGGACGAUUGAUAAAAUUCGAACUCUCAACCUUAGAGACGGAUCCCUUAAAGAGAC